UUCCGGUUGAUCCCGCCAGACCUGACUGCUAUCGGAUUGAUACUAAGCCAUGCGAGUCAUUGCAGCAAUGCAAGGCAGACGGCUCAGUAACGCGUAGUCAACCUAACCUAUGGACGGGAAUAACCUCGGGAAACUGAGUAUAAUGCCCGAUAGAACACUAUACCUGGAAUGGUUUGUGUUCCAAAUGAUUUAUCGCCGUAGGAUGGGACUGCGGCCUAUCAGUUUGUUGGUGAGGUAAUGGCCCACCAAGACUAUUACAGGUACGGGCUCUGAGAGGAGUAGCCCGGAGAUGGGUACUGAGACACGGACCCAGGCCCUAUGGGGCGCAGCAGGCGAGAAAACUUUGCAAUGUGCGAAAGCACGACAAGGUUAAUCCGAGUGGUUUCUGCUAAAGGAACCUUUUGUUAGUCCUAGAAACACUAACGAAUAAGGGGUGGGCAAGUUCUGGUGUCAGCCGCCGCGGUAAAACCAGCACCUCAAGUGGUCAGGAUGAUUAUUGGGCCUAAAGCAUCCGUAGCCGGCUCUGUAAGUUUUCGGUUAAAUCUGUACGCUCAACGUACAGGCUGCCGGGAAUACUGCAGAGCUAGGGAGUGGGAGAGGUAGACGGUACUCGGGAGGAAGUGGUAAAAUGUUUUGAUCUCUCGAUGACCACCUGUGGCGAAGGCGGUCUACCAGAACACGUCCGACGGUGAGGGAUGAAAGCUGGGGGAGCAAACCGGAUUAGAUACCCGGGUAGUCCCAGCUGUAAACUAUGCAAACUCAGUGAUGCAUUGGCUUGUGGCCAAUGCAGUAUUGCAGGGAAGCCGUUAAGUUUGCCGCCUGGGAAGUACGUACGCAAGUAUGAAACUUAAAGGAAUUGGCGGGGGAGCACCACAAGGGGUGAAGCCUGCGGUUCAAUUGGAUUCAACGCCGGA
rnacentral:rRNA from 2 species